rnacentral:rRNA from 1 species
GAUGAACGCUAGCUACAGGCUUAACACAUGCAAGUCGAGGGGAAACGAUAGAGAAAGCUUGCUUUUUCUAGGCGUCGACCGGCGCACGGGUGAGCAACGCGUAUACAACCUGCCCAUCACUUGGGGAUAACCUUGCGAAAGUAAGACUAAUACCCAAUGAUACCUCUAGCAGACAUCUGAAGGGGAUUAAAGAUUUAUCGGUGGUGGCUGGGGAUGCGUCUGAUUAGCUUGUUGGCGAGGUAACGGCACACCAAGGCGACGAUCAGUAGGGGUUCCGAGAUGAAGGUCUCCCACAUUGGAACUGAGACACGGUCCAAACUCCUACGGGAGGCAGCAGUGAGGAAUAUUGGUCAAUGGACGAGAGUCUGAACCAUCCAAGUAGCGUGCAGGAUAACGGCCCUAUGGGUUGUAAACUGAUUUUAUAAGGGAAUAAAGUGGGAGUCGUGACUCCUUUUGCAUGUACCUUAUGAAUAAGGACCGGCUAAUUCCGUGCCAGCCGCCGCAGUAA